UGAACUCAGAACUUUUAACGUUGACGGAGUGAAGGAAGAGAAGCUCAAGACUCACCAUGAUGAAUAAGAAAGAGGAGGACAGAGCAGAGUCUCCAGGAUCCAGCUGUCUGUCUAUGAAGAGUGACCUGUCCAAAGAUUUUAUUAUAAACUUCAGACAUGAACCUGGACGCUCACACACAAAAGUUCAGUCCAGCAGACGGAGAGCAGAGUCUCCAGGAGCCAGCUGUCUGUCUAUGAGAGUGACAUGUCCAAAGAUGUUAUUAUAAAC